ensembl:snRNA U6 U6 spliceosomal RNA
GUGCUCGUUGUGGCAGCACAUAUACUAAAACUGGAACGAUACAGAGAAGAUCAGCAUAGCCCCUGCGGAAGGAUGAUACGCAAAUUCAUGAAGCAUUCCAUAUUUUU